rnacentral:rRNA from 1 species
GAUUCUGGCUCAGAACGAACGCUGGCGGCGCGUUUAAGCAUGCAAGUCGAGCGGCAAGGGCCUUCGGGCCCCUAGAGCGGCGGACGGGUGAGUAACACGUGGACAAUCUGCCCCCCGGCCCGGGAUAGCCCAGGGAAACCUGGAUUAAUACCGGAUGAGACGGGACCCGCGAUGGCGGGAUCCGGGAAAGGCGCUGCGGCGCCGCCGGGGGAUGAGUCUGCGUCCCAUUAGCUAGACGGCGGGGUAACGGCCCACCGUGGCGACGAUGGGUAGCCGGCCUGAGAGGGUGGACGGCCACAUUGGAACUGAGACACGGUCCAGACUCCUACGGGAGGCAGCAGCUAAGAAUCUUCCGCAAUGGGCGAAAGCCUGACGGAAGCGACGCCGCGUGAACGAAGAAGGCCGUGAGGUUGUAAAGUUCUUUUCGGGAGGGGAACAACCGUGGCAGGGAAUGGCCGCGGGAUGACGUGAAUCCCGGAAUAAGCCCCGGCUAACUACGUGCCAGCCGCGGC